AAAAGUUCAUCGCUGUAUAUGUUUAUGUAUAUACAUCGCUGUAUAUGUUUAAGGUGACAACCAUCUUAAGUAUUCUUUAAGAAAAUAUAUUUAAGCCAUAUUUCCAUCUGACACAAAGGCUUGACUACCUCGGUUAAAAUACGCUGUUUGAGGUCUUGCAUUUUAUAAGAUCAGUAUACGAACUCUUUCAUGUGAAACAACGAAUAAAAAGAAAAAGAUCUUGCUGAUGACUUAGGGUAUACCUUCGGCUUUGAGACAGGUCUGCCCUCUUAGCUUGUGUCGGCACAAUAAAAUGAGUUUUCAUCGCCCUCUGCAGGUUAAAAGACGAAUACAUGAUACAUGCGGGUUCAAAGAGUAGGCGUAUAGGGGUUCAAAUACCUUCACUUGUCGUGUAAAUGUAACAGUGUGACAUGUACACUACUAAAUUUCACUACAAUAGUAUAUUUUUUGUGCUAAAAAUUGUCUAAAGGAAUGCCACUGGAAUUUCUGUGAUCAUUAAGAAUCAAUCCAAACAAAAAUAAAACAAUUAAAUAACACCACGCGACUCAUUUGGUUAUUUUGUCAGUUCUAAUUUUGAGCCCUUAAUUGUAUAUUAACCUAUGACAUGUAACUUCUUGCGCCAGUUAAAGGUAACUCGCUUGUGUUUGGCUCUAAAGCUGUGAUUUACCGCCAUUUUUUAAAAGCGCGUCUCUGUAGCAACUGCACAAACACUGAUACAUUGUAGCAAAAGUUUAUACAGUAGAGACACUUUUAAAGUUCUAUUUUUUUCUAUCUUUAGAACGCGCUGUACGUAGACUGCUCUACACACAACUAAUACAGCCAGUCUCACAGCUGCGAGGACGGAACGACUCAGACUCAAGAUGUCUCAGACAGACAGUGAUUAGUCCGUGACAGUGGAGCAGCUGGAAGAAGAACUGUCUGCUCACAUUCAGACUCUGAAGACAAUGAGAUUUUACACCAAAUAUCCUCAAAACUAUAUAAGCGAGACAGCUGCUGGUGUUCUCCCUCAUUACACAGAAGUGCUGCUCAUGUUCAGAGCUCUGGAGGAAAAGGAAUGUCACCAGGCUCAGCACACUGCAGAUUGUUUCUGCUCGGCUGGGGAAUCCGAACACUUCCUUCAGUCCAUGGGCGUCGCUAGACCAUUUUUAGGGGGUCUGUAG
ensembl:lncRNA